CUAUUAUAAUCUUAUAAUUGUUUCACACUUUUUUUUCCUUCUUAAAUAUAUUUUAAAGAAAAAUUUUAUUCUACAUAUUGGGCCUACAAAUUGUUAAGAUGGCCCAAAUAUUUGUUAUAUAUAUCUUCCUAUACAACGCUCUUACCCUAUUCUCAUCGCCGCCGCAUCAACCACAUCUUUUCUCUACAUUCCCCCUGAUCUAUACAACGCUUUAACCCUAUCUUCAUCUCCACCACAUCAACUGCAUCAUUCCUCCACAUUCCCUCCUCUAUCUGUAAAUUUAUACUCAGAAAAUAACCCAAACUUAUUAUAUUACCUACAAGAGAAUACAAAUUUUAUAUGCAAGUGUUGUAAUGUUUCUGAUAUUACUCGAUUUCGCAUCCAUCUUUUCUAUUAUGCGUGAUAAAUGCUUUGAAUCACAAAUCGUAAACGAUGAAGAAAGUGCUCCAAAAUAUGGAACAGCUCCAACGUUCAAAGAUCCAGAACAGGAGAUUGAGGAGCAAACCCCGGAAAUCUCAUGGAUCUUAAAACAGAUGGAAACCAGGAUUCUGGCCGUGUUCAGUAGACGAGCCCUUGCACUGCGAAGAGUCUGUACAAGUUGAAGGCUGGUCGAAUUGGUUGGACUGGGGUUCUGAGGAUUGAGGAACUUAUCAAGGAUUUGUUCAACAUUUGGAUGUCCAAAUGAGAAUACUUUUUUCCCAGGAGAGAAGACCAUGAUUGCAAUUUCUACACCACAUAAGGUGCUAAGCUUUCCUCUACCAGUAUUCCGUGCAUGAGCAGAUGAGGACUCAUUAUUUCGUGAGUCAUCAACAGGCCCAAGCUUGCCAGGUGAAGAGAAAUGUUGAGGAGGAUGUUUUGGUAAUAAGCCUAGAUCGGUGGACCCUAUCGC